rnacentral:rRNA from 1 species
UCGGGAACUCUGAGACAGGUGCUGCAUGGCUGUCGUCAGCUCGUGUUGUGAAAUGUUGGGUUAAGUCCCGCAACGAGCGCAACCCUUAUCCUUUGUUGCCAGCGGUUAGGCCGGGAACUCAAAGGAGACUGCCAGUGAUAAACUGGAGGAAGGUGGGGAUGACGUCAAGUCAUCAUGGCCCUUACGAGUAGGGCUACACACGUGCUACAAUGGCGCAUACAAAGAGAAGCGACCUCGCGAGAGCAAGCGGACCUCAUAAAGUACGUCGUAGUCCGGAUUGGAGUCUGCAACUCGACUCCAUGAAGUCGGAAUCGCUAGUAAUCGUAGAUCAGAAUGCCACGGUGAAUACGUUCCCGGGCCUUGUACACACCGCCCGUCACACCAUGGGAGUGGGUUGCAAAAGAAGUAGGUAGC